rnacentral:rRNA from 1 species
GACGAACGCUGGCGGCGUGCUUAACACAUGCAAGUCGAACGAUGACGAAGAGACAGGCGAACUUCGGUUCCAAUCUCACUUCUGAUUCGUGGCAGACGGCUGAGUAACGCGUGAGCAACCUACCUCUUACAAAGGGAUAGCCCCGGGAAACCGUGAUUAAUACCAGAUGACACAUUCAUAAUGCAUCUUAAGAAUGUUAAAGGUAGGGCGGUAAGAGAUGGGCUCGCUACCCGUUAGCUAGUGGGCGAGGUAACGGCUCACCAAAGCGACGAUGGGUAACCGGCCUGUGAGGGUGAACGGUGACAUUGGAGCUGGGACACGGUGCAAACUCCUACGGGAGGCAGCAGAGGGGGAUAUUGCACAAUGGAGGGAAGUCAGAUGCAGCGACGCCGGGUGAGCGAUGAAGGAAUUAGUUACGUAAAGCUCUGUUAUAUGGGAAGAAAAGGACGGUACCAGAAGAGAAAGCCCCGGCUAAAUACGUG